GAUGAACGCUGGCGGCGUGCCUAAUACAUGCAAGUCGAGCGAACGGACGAGAAGCUUGCUUCUCUGAUGUUAGCGGCGGACGGGUGAGUAACACGUGGAUAACCUACCUAUAAGACUGGGAUAACUUCGGGAAACCGGAGCUAAUACCGGAUAAUAUUUUGAACCGCAUGGUUCAAAAGUGAAAGACGGUCUUGCUGGCACUUAUAGAUGGAUCCGCGCUGCAUUAGCUAGUUGGUAAGGUAACGGCUUACCAAGGCAACGAUGCAUAGCCGACCUGAGAGGGUGAUCGGCCACACUGGAACUGAGACACGGUCCAGACUCCUACGGGAGGCAGCAGUAGGGAAUCUUCCGCAAUGGGCGAAAGCCUGACGGAGCAACGCCGCGUGAGUGAUGAAGGUCUUCGGAUCGUAAAACUCUGUUAUUAGGGAAGAACAUAUGUGUAAGUAACUGUGCACAUCUUGACGGUACUUAAUCAGAAAGCCACGGCUAACUACGUG
rnacentral:rRNA from 1 species